ACGCACGCUGGCGGCGUGCUUAACACCUGCAAGUCGAACGGAAAGGCCCUGCUUUUGUGGGGUGCUCGAGUGGCGAACGGGUGAGUAACACGUGAGUAACCUGCCCUUGACUUUGGGAUAACUUCAGGAAACUGGGGCUAAUACCGGAUAGGAGCUCCUGCUGCAUGGUGGGGGUUGGAAAGUUUCGGCGGUUGGGGAUGGACUCGCGGCUUAUCAGCUUGUUGGUGGGUAGUGGCUUACCAAGGCUUUGACGGGUAGCCGGCCUGAGAGGGUGACCGGCCACAUUGGGACUGAGAUACGGCCCAGACUCCUACGGGAGGCAGCAGUGGGGAAUAUUGCACAAUGGGCGGAAGCCUGAUGCAGCAACGCCGCGUGCGGGAUGACGGCCUUCGGGUUGUAAACCGCUUUCGCCUGUGACGAAGCGUGAGUGACGGUAAUGGGUAAAGAAGCACCGGCUAACUACGUG
rnacentral:rRNA from 1 species